AUUGAACGCUGGCGGCAGGCCUAACACAUGCAAGUCGAGCGGAUGAAGGGAGCUUGCUCCUGGAUUCAGCGGCGGACGGGUGAGUAAUGCCUAGGAAUCUGCCUGGUAGUGGGGGAUAACGUCCGGAAACGGGCGCUAAUACCGCAUACGUCCUGAGGGAGAAAGUGGGGGAUCUUCGGACCUCACGCUAUCAGAUGAGCCUAGGUCGGAUUAGCUAGUUGGUGGGGUAAAGGCCUACCAAGGCGACGAUCCGUAACUGGUCUGAGAGGAUGAUCAGUCACACUGGAACGGAGACACGGUCCAGACUCCUACGGGAGGCAGCAGUGGGGAAUAUUUGGACAAUGGGCGAAAGCCUGAUCCAGCCAUGCCGCGUGUGUGAAGAAGGUCUUCGGAUUGUAAAGCACUUUAAGUUGGGAGGAAGGGCAGUAAGUUAAUACCUUGCUGUUUUGACGUUACCAACAGAAUAAGCACCGGCUAACUUCGUG
rnacentral:rRNA from 1 species